rnacentral:tRNA from 1 species
CAGUAAAUAGUUUAAUAAAACAUAGGUUUUGGAGACUUAAAAUAAGUAUAAUUACUUUUUACUGA